CUUUCAAGUGAUAAAACCAACAAUCAAUAAAAUUAAUUAUAAUGCAGCGCCCCAACAUGGAUCCUCGCGUGCCAGGUGCCCCUGUGCAAUCCGGUGUCUUCUCUUCAAGACCUAAUCCCUGCUUCGGGCCAAGACAGCACCCGCUAUCACCUUGCUUUGGACCUUCUGCGGCACCGGCGAGACAACCCUUCACAUCCAACCCUUGCUUCGCCCCCGCACCGACACUCAGAAAACCGAAUCAAGACCCUAAUUUACCACCUCGAUACGGACCCUGUUUCUAAAACUAUUAUAAAAUUUAAUUAUAAUUGUAAUUAGGAAUCUCGACUUGUCUCGUCCGUCUCGGUUGUUUUGUAAAUUAUCAUACAUUUACCAUAUGAGCUGAAAGUUUAAAUAAAUAUUUGUUUAUAAAUAUUUUUUGCAAACAAUAAACGAUGAGAAUUUGUUAUGUUAAAUAUCUGUUACCAAUAAUAUAAUCUAUGAUACUUGAUCCAGUAUUUUUAUAUUAAUAUUAUGCUUCAUA